CACGUAGUUAGCCGGGGCUUUCGUAUGGUACCGUCAUUUCUUUCUUCCCAUACUAUUGAGCUUUACGACCCGAAGGCCUUCUUCACUCACGCGGCGUCGCUGUGUCAGGGUUUCCCCCAUUGCACAAUAUUCCCCACUGCUGCCUCCCGUAGGAGUCUGGACCGUGUCUCAGUUCCAGUGUGGCCGUUCACCCUCUCAGGCCGGCUACCCAUCGUCGCCUUGGUGGGCCGUUACCCUCACCAACUAGCUAAUGGGACGCGGACUCCUCCUAUAGCGGAUUCCCUCCUUUCUUCGAAAAGCGAUGCCGCUUCUCGACAUUAUCCGGUAUUAGCACCCCUUUCGAGGUGUUAUCCCAGUCUACAGGGUAGAUUGUCCACGCGUUACUCACCCGUCCGCCGCUAAGUUCGUACCGUAGUACUCCCUUCGCUCGACUUGCAUGUGUUAGGCACGCCGCCAGCGUUCGUCCUGAGCCAGGAUCAAACUCU
rnacentral:rRNA from 1 species